UAACUUUGCCUUUACUCCAUGGUAGAGGUUUCCCCAACCUUUGGCUUAAGUAGAGAAUCUCCAAAUUUCUUGAAAAUAAUCACCACAAAUCACUUCUCAAGCUUAAUUCUCUAAGAUUAAUUACUUAAAUCAAGUUGGGUGGGUUUAAUUUGGUGGAUUUAACAAGUAAGAAGUGAAGAAAAACAAAGAAGAGAAGAAGAAGAGGAAGU
rnacentral:lncRNA from 1 species